GUAGGUGGCAAGCGUUGUCCGGAAUUAUUGGGCGUAAAGCGCGCGCAGGCGGUUCUUUAAGUCUGAUGUGAAAGCCCACGGCUCAACCGUGGAGGGUCAUUGGAAACUGGAGAACUUGAGUACAGAAGAGGAAAGCGGAAUUCCACGUGUAGCGGUGAAAUGCGUAGAGAUGUGGAGGAACACCAGUGGCGAAGGCGGCUUUCUGGUCUGUAACUGACGCUGAGGCGCGAAAGCGUGGGGAGCGAACAGGGAUUAGAUACCCUGGUAGUCCACGCCGUAAACGAUGAGUGCUAAGUGUUAGGGGGGUUUCCGCCCCCUUAGUGCUGCAGCUAACGCAUUAAGCACUCCGCCUGGGGAGUACGGCCGCAAGGCUG
rnacentral:rRNA from 1 species